UCCCAGACUCCUACGGGAGGCAGCAGUGAGGAAUAUUGGUCAAUGGGCGAGAGCCUGAACCAGCCAAGUCGCGUGAGGGAGUACUGCCCUAUGGGUUGUAAACCUCUUUUGUCGGGGAGCAAAAGCCGGACGUGUCCGGCUGUGAGAGUACCCGAAGAAAAAGCAUCGGCUAACUCCGUGCCAGCAGCCGCGGUAAUACGGAGGAUGCGAGCGUUAUCCGGAUUUAUUGGGUUUAAAGGGUGCGUAGGCGGGCUGUUAAGUCAGCGGUAAAAUGUCGGGGCUCAACCCCGGCCUGCCGUUGAAACUGGCGGCCUCGAGUGGGCGAGAAGUAUGCGGAAUGCGUGGUGUAGCGGUGAAAUGCAUAGAUAUCACGCAGAACUCCGAUUGCGAAGGCAGCAUACCGGCGCCCUACUGACGCUGAGGCACGAAAGCGUGGGUAUCGAACAGGAUUAGAUACCCCCGUA
rnacentral:rRNA from 1 species